rnacentral:rRNA from 1 species
UACGUAGGGGGCAAGCGUUGUCCGGAUUUACUGGGCGUAAAGCGCGUGUAGGCGGUCUCUUAAGUCCGGGGUGAAAGGCAGGGGCUCAACCCCUGAGCUGCGCCGGAAACUGGGAGACUUGAGUGUCGGAGAGGGAAGUGGAAUUCCUGGUGUAGCGGUGAAAUGCGUAGAGAUCAGGAGGAACACCCGUGGCGAAGGCGGCUUCCUGGCCGAACACUGACGCUGAGACGCGAAAGCGUGGGGAGCGAACGGG